GAGUUUGAUCAUGGCUCAGAUUGAACGCUGGCGGCAGGCCUAACACAUGCAAGUCGAACGGUAACAGGAAACAGCUUGCUGUUUCGCUGACGAGUGGCGGACGGGUGAGUAAUGUCUGGGAAACUGCCUGAUGGAGGGGGAUAACUACUGGAAACGGUAGCUAAUACCGCAUAACGUCGCAAGACCAAAGAGGGGGACCUUCGGGCCUCUUGCCAUCAGAUGUGCCCAGAUGGGAUUAGCUAGUAGGUGGGGUAACGGCUCACCUAGGCGACGAUCCCUAGCUGGUCUGAGAGGAUGACCAGCCACACUGGAACUGAGACACGGCCCAGACUCCUACGGGAGGCAGCAGUGGGGAAUAUUGCACAAUGGGCGCAAGCCUGAUGCAGCCAUGCCGCGUGUAUGAAGAAGGCCUUCGGGUUGUAAAGUACUUUCAGCGGGGAGGAAGGGAGUAAAGUUAAUACCUUUGCUCAUUGACGUUACCCGCAGAAGAAGCACCGGCUAACUCCGUGCCAGCAGCCGCGGUAAUACGGAGGGUGCAAGCGUUAAUCGGAAUUACUGGGCGUAAAGCGCACGCAGGCGGUUUGUUAAGUCAGAUGUGAAAUCCCCGGGCUCAACCUGGGAACUGCAUCUGAUACUGGCAAGCUUGAGUCUCGUAGAGGGGGGUAGAAUUCCAGGUGUAGCGGUGAAAUGCGUAGAGAUCUGGAGGAAUACCGGUGGCGAAGGCGGCCCCCUGGACGAAGACUGACGCUCAGGUGCGAAAGCGUGGGGAGCAAACAGGAUUAGAUACCCUGGUAGUCCACGCCGUAAACGAUGUCGACUUGGAGGUUGUGCCCUUGAGGCGUGGCUUCCGGAGCUAACGCGUUAAGUCGACCGCCUGGGGAGUACGGCCGCAAGGUUAAAACUCAAAUGAAUUGACGGGGGCCCGCACAAGCGGUGGAGCAUGUGGUUUAAUUCGAUGUAACGCGAAGAACCUUACCUGGUCUUGACAUCCACGGAAGUUUUCAGAGAUGAGAAUGUGCCUUCGGGAACCGUGAGACAGGUGCUGCAUGGCUGUCGUCAGCUCGUGUUGUGAAAUGUUGGGUUAAGUCCCGCAACGAGCGCAACCCUUAUCCUUUGUUGCCAGCGGUCCGGCCGGGAACUCAAAGGAGACUGCCAGUGAUAAACUGGAGGAAGGUGGGGAUGACGCCAAGUCAUCAUGGCCCUUACGACCAGGGCUACACACGUGCUACAAUGGCGCAUACAAAGAGAAGCGACCUCGCGAGAGCAAGCGGACCUCAUAAAGUGCGUCGUAGUCCGGAUUGGAGUCUGCAACUCGACUCCAUGAAGUCGGAAUCGCUAGUAAUCGUGGAUCAGAAUGCCACGGUGAAUACGUUCCCGGGCCUUGUACACACCGCCCGUCACACCAUGGGAGUGGGUUGCAAAAGAAGUAGGUAGCUUAACCUUCGGGAGGGCGCUUACCACUUUGUGAUUCAUGACUGGGGUGAAGUCGUAACAAGGUAACCGUAGGGGAACCUGCGGUUG
rnacentral:rRNA from 1 species